GACGAACGCUGGCGGUGUGCUUAACACAUGCAAGUCGAACGGCAAGGCCCUGAUUUUUUGCUCUUCUCGAUUGGCGAUCGCGUGCGUAACACGUGUGUAUCGUGCUCUUCUUUUUCGUUUAACGUCACGUAACUAGACUUACUAUCGUAUCGCAUCCCCCCUUCCAUUGAAGGCGUGGGAUCGUUUCGGCGGUUGGGGAUGGACUCGCGGCUUAUCAGCUUGUUGGUGGGGUAGUGGCUUACCAAGGCUUUGACGGGUAGCCGGCCUGAGAGGGUGACCGGCCACAUUGGGACUGAGAUACGGCCCAGACUCCUACGGGAGGCAGAAGUGGGGAAUAUUGCACAAUGGGCGGAAGCCUGAUGCAGCAACGCCGCGUGCGGGAUGACGGCCUUCGGGUUGUAAACCGCUUUCGCCUGUGACGAAGCGUGAGUGACGGUAAUGGGUAAAGAAGCACCGGCUAACUACGUG
rnacentral:rRNA from 1 species